rnacentral:rRNA from 1 species
UGGGGAAUAUUGCACAAUGGGCGCAAGCCUGAUGCAGCCAUGCCGCGUGUAUGAAGAAGGCCUUCGGGUUGUAAAGUACUUUCAGCGGGGAGGAAGGGAGUAAAGUUAAUACCUUUGCUCAUUGACGUUACCCGCAGAAGAAGCACCGGCUAACUCCGUGCCAGCAGCCGCGGUAAUACGGAGGGUGCAAGCGUUAAUCGGAAUUACUAGGCGUAAAGCGCACGCAGGCGGUUUGUUAAGUCAGAUGUGAAAUCCUCGGGCUCAACCUGGGAACUGCAUCUGAUACUGGCAAGCUUGAGUCUCGUAGAGGGGGGUAGAAUUCCAGGUGUAGCGGUGAAAUGCGUAGAGAUCUGGAGGAAUACCGGUGGCGAAGGCGGCCCCCUGGACGAAGACUGACGCUCAGGUGCGAAAGCGUGGGGAGCAAACAGG